rnacentral:rRNA from 1 species
CCAGGCCCUACGGGGUGCAGCAGGCGCGAAACCUCCGCAAUGUGAGAAAUCGCGACGGGGGGAUCCCAAGUGCCAUUCUUAACGGGAUGGCUUUUCAUUAGUGUAAAGAGCUUUUGGAAUAAGAGCUGGGCAAGACCGGUGCCAGCCGCCGCGGUAACACCGGCAGCUCUAGUGGUAGCAGUUUUUAUUGGGCCUAAAGCGUCCGUAGCCGGUUUAAUAAGUCUCUGGUGAAAUCCUGCAGCUUAACUGUGGGAAUUGCUGGAGAUACUAUUAGACUUGAGACCGGGAGAGGUUAGAGGUACUCCCAGGGUAGAGGUGAAAUUCUGUAAUCCUGGGAGGACCGCCUGUUGCGAAGGCGUCUGACUGGAACGAUUCUGACGGUGAGGGAUGAAAGCUAGGGGCGCGAACCGGAUUAGAUACCCGGGUAGUCCUAGCUGUAAACGAUGCGGACUUGGUGUUGGGGUGGCUUUGAGCUGUCCCAGUGCCGAAGGGAAGCUGUUAAGUCCGCCGCCUGGGAAGUACGGUCGCAAGACUGAAACUUAAAGGAAUUGGCGGGGGAGUACCACAACGCGUGGAGCCUGCGGUUUAAUUGGAGUCAACGCCGG